AACGAACGCUGGCGGCAUGCCUAACACAUGCAAGUCGAACGAGAUCUUCGGGUCUAGUGGCGCACGGGUGCGUAACGCGUGGGAAUCUGCCCUUUGGUUCGGAAUAACAGUUGGAAACGACUGCUAAUACCGGAUGAUGACGAAAGUCCAAAGAUUUAUCGCCAGAGGAUGAGCCCGCGUAGGAUUAGCUAGUUGGUGUGGUAAAGGCGCACCGAGGCGACGAUCCUUAGCUGGUCUGAGAGGAUGAUCAGCCACACUGGGACUGAGACACGGCCAAGACUCCUACGGGAGGCAGCAGUGGGGAAUAUUGGACAAUGGGCGAAAGCCUGAUCCAGCAAUGCCGCGUGAGUGAUGAAGGCCUUAGGGUUGUAAAGCUCUUUUACCCGGGAUGAUAAUGACAGUACCGGGAGAAUAAGCUCCGGCUAACUCCGUGCCAGCCGCCGCGGUAA
rnacentral:rRNA from 1 species